GUAGGAUAGAGGCCUACCAUGGUGGUAACGGGUAACGGGGUGUUAGGGCACGACACCGGAGAGGGAGCCUGAGAAACGGCUACCACAUCCAAGGAUGGCAGCAGGCGCGCAAAUUACCCAAUCCCGACACGGGGAGGUAGUGACAAUAAAUAACAAUACGGGGUUCUUUCGGAUCUCGUAAUUGGAAUGAGUACAAUUUAAAUCUCUUAACGAGGAACAAUUGGAGGGCAAGUCUGGUGCCAGCAGCCGCGGUAAUUCCAGCUCCAAUAGCGUAUAUUAAAGUUGUUGCAGUUAAAAAGCUCGUAGUUGAAUUUCGGGGUCAGUAGGUUGGUCAUGCCACUGGUAUGUACUGGUCUCACUGAUUCCUCCUUCCUGAUGAGCCGUAAUGCCAUUAAUUUGGUGUUGCGAGGAAUCUGGACUGUUACUUUGAAAAAAUUAGAGUGUUUAAAGCAGGCUAACGCUUGAAUACAUUAGCAUGGAAUAAUGAAAUAGGACGUUCGAUCUUAUUUUGUUGGUUUCUAAGAUUGACGUAAUGAUUAAUAGGGAUAGUUGGGGGCAUUAGUAUUCAAUUGUCAGAGGUGUAAUUCUUGGAUUUAUUGAAGACUAACUACUGCGAAAGCAUUUGCCAAGGAUGUUUUCAUUAAUCGAGAACGAAAGUUAGGGGAUCGAAGACGAUCAGAUACCGUCGUAGUCUUAACCAUAAACUAUGCCGACUAGGGAUCGGAUGAUGUUUAUUUUUUAAUGACUCAUUCGGCGCCUUACGGGAACCAAAGUGUUUGGGUUC
rnacentral:rRNA from 1 species